UACAGAGGUCCCAAGCGUUGUUCGGAUUCAUUGGGCGUAAAGGGUGCGUAGGCGGCGCGGUAAGUCGGGUGUGAAAUUUCGGAGCUUAACUCCGAAACUGCAUUCGAUACUGCGGUGCUUGAGGACUGGAGAGGAGACUGGAACUCAUGGUGUAGCAGUGAAAUGCGUAGAGAUCAUGAGGAAGACCAGUGGCGAAGGCGGGUCUCUGGGCAACAACUGACGCUGAGGAGCGAAAGCGUGGGGAGCGAACAGG
rnacentral:rRNA from 1 species